CCUACGGGUGGCAGCAGUGGGGAAUCUUGGGCAAUGGGCGCAAGUCUGACCCAGCAACGCCGCGUGAAGGAAGAAGGCUUUCGGGUUGUAAACUUCUGUUCUGAGGGACGAAGAAAGUGACGGUACCUCAGGAAUAAGCCACGGCUAACUACGUGCCAGCAGCCGCGGUAAUACGUAGGUGGCAAGCGUUAUCCGGAUUUAUUGGGUGUAAAGGGCGUGUAGGCGGGAAAGCAAGUCAGAUGUGAAAACUCAGGGCUCAAACCUGAGCCUGCAUUUGAACCUGUUUUUCUUGAGUGCAGGAGAGGCGAGCGGAAUUCCGUGUGUAGCGGUGAAAUGCGUAGAUAUACGGAGGAACACCAGUGGCGAAGGCGGAUUGCUGGACAGUAACUGACGCUGAGGCGCGAAAGCGUGGGGAGCAAACAGGAUUAGAUACCCCAGUAGUC
rnacentral:rRNA from 1 species